GAUGAACGCUGGCGGCGUGCUUAACACAUGCAAGUCGAACGAUGAAGCCCAGCUUGCUGGGUGGAUUAGUGGCGAACGGGUGAGUAACACGUGAGUAACCUGCCCUUAACUCUGGGAUAAGCCUGGGAAACUGGGUCUAAUACCGGAUAGGAGCGUCCACCGCAUGGUGGGUGUUGGAAAGAUUUAUCGGUUUUGGAUGGACUCGCGGCCUAUCAGCUUGUUGGUGAGGUAAUGGCUCACCAAGGCGACAACGGGUAGCCGGCCUGAGAGGGUGACCGGCCACACUGGGACUGAGACACGGCCCAGACUCCUACGGGAGGCAGCAGUGGGGAAUAUUGCACAAUGGGCGCAAGCCUGAUGCAGCGACGCCGCGUGAGGGAUGACGGCCUUCGGGUUGUAAACCUCUUUCAGUAGGGAAGAAGCGAAAGUGACGGUACCUGCAGAAGAAGCACCGGCUAACUACGUG
rnacentral:rRNA from 1 species